GCCUAGGUCGCCUAAGGCUUGGGCCGCCCCUGUAUGUAGUCUUGUAUCGGAAGGAGAAAAGCAAGAAAGAAUAAAUAGAUCAUUUGUAUCUCAUACUCUCUUGUGUUUCCUUUCUCUUUAUUUUCUAUUGCUUUAUUACUUUUACUUUAGUUUUAUACCACAAACAACAAAUUUUACCUGGCUUGUAAGUAAGACUCUUCCUCUACAUGGGAGUGUUUCACUUCCCUAGCAUCCUCAAAAGGUAAUGGCAUCAUUAAACCGAGGUACCUCUUUUAAAUAUUAAACUGAAUGGUCACUGAUCC
rnacentral:lncRNA from 1 species